AAUACAUGCAAGUCGAACGAGUUCUCGUUGAUGAUCGGUGCUUGCACCGAGAUUCAACAUGGAACGAGUGGCGACGGGUGAGUAACACGUGGGUAACCUGCCCUUAAGUGGGGGAUAACAUUUGGAAACAGAUGCUAAUACCGCAUAGAUCCAAGAACCGCAUGGUUCUUGGCUGAAAGAUGGCGUAAGCUAUCGCUUUUGGAUGGACCCGCGGCGUAUUAGCUAGUUGGUGAGGUAAUGGCUCACCAAGGCGAUGAUACGUAGCCGAACUGAGAGGUUGAUCGGCCACAUUGGGACUGAGACACGGCCCAAACUCCUACGGGAGGCAGCAGUAGGGAAUCUUCCACAAUGGACGCAAGUCUGAUGGAGCAACGCCGCGUGAGUGAAGAAGGCUUUCGGGUCGUAAAACUCUGUUGUGGAGAAGAAUGGUCGGCAGAGUAACUGUUGUCGGCGUGACGGUAUCCAACCAGAAAGCCACGGCUAACUACGUGCCAGCAGCCGCGGUAAUACGUAGGUGGCAAGCGUUAUCCGGAUUUAUUGGGCGUAAAGCGAGCGCAGGCGGUUUUUUAAGUCUGAUGUGAAAGCCCUCGGCUUAACCGAGGAAGCGCAUCGGAAACUGGGAAACUUGAGUGCAGAAGAGGACAGUGGAACUCCAUGUGUAGCGGUGAAAUGCGUAGAUAUAUGGAAGAACACCAGUGGCGAAGGCGGCUGUCUGGUCUGUAACUGACGCUGAGGCUCGAAAGCAUGGGUAGCGAACAGGAUUAGAUACCCUGGUAGUCCAUGCCGUAAACGAUGAAUGCUAGGUGUUGGAGGGUUUCCGCCCUUCAGUGCCGCAGCUAACGCAUUAAGCAUUCCGCCUGGGGAGUACGACCGCAAGGUUGAAACUCAAAGGAAUUGACGGGGGCCCGCACAAGCGGUGGAGCAUGUGGUUUAAUUCGAAGCAACGCGAAGAACCUUACCAGGUCUUGACAUCUUUUGAUCACCUGAGAGAUCAGGUUUCCCCUUCGGGGGCAAAAUGACAGGUGGUGCAUGGUUGUCGUCAGCUCGUGUCGUGAGAUGUUGGGUUAAGUCCCGCAAC
rnacentral:rRNA from 2 species